AGGAACCUGGAUUUCUGGAAGGAGAUGAUGGGGAGGACACAGCAAAGAUCCGUCAGGCCGACAUUGUGGAGGCUGUGGACAUUGCGAGUGCUGCCAAGCACUUUGACCUGAAUCUGCGGCAGUUUGGACCCUAUAGACUGCACUAUUCUCGAACUGGAAGGUGAGGUCGAAUUCCACUUGAGUC